AUUGAACGCUGGCGGCAGGCUUAACACAUGCAAGUCGAGCGGGGGAAGGUAGCUUGCUACCGGACCUAGCGGCGGACGGGUGAGUAAUGCUUAGGAAUCUGCCUAUUAGUGGGGGACAACAUCUCGAAAGGGAUGCUAAUACCGCAUACGUCCUACGGGAGAAAGCAGGGGAUCUUCGGACCUUGCGCUAAUAGAUGAGCCUAAGUCGGAUUAGCUAGUUGGUGGGGUAAAGGCCUACCAAGGCGACGAGCUGUAGCGGGUCUGAGAGGAUGAUCCGCCACUCUGGGACUGAGACACGGCCCAGACUCCUACGGGAGGCAGCAGUGGGGAAUAUUGGACAAUGGGGGGAACCCUGAUCCAGCCAUGCCGCGUGUGUGAAGAAGGCCUUAUGGUUGUAAGCACUUUAAGCGAGGAGGAGGCUCUUUUGGUUAAUACCCAAGAUGAGUGGACGUUACUCGCAGAAUAAGCACCGGCUAACUCUGUGCCAGCAGCCGCGGUAA
rnacentral:rRNA from 1 species